GGACCUUCCACGGUCUCUGCGACGCAGCUAACGCAUUAAGUGCCCCGCCUGGGGAGUACGAUCGCAAGAUUAAAACUCAAAGGAAUUGACGGGGCCCCGCACAAGCAGCGGAGCAUGCGGCUUAAUUCGACGCAACGCGAAGAACCUUACCAAGGCUUGACAUAUACAGGAAUAUGGCAGAGAUGUCAUAGCCGCAAGGUCUGUAUACAGGUGGUGCAUGGUUGUCGUCAGCUCGUGUCGUGAGAUGUUGGGUUAAGUCCCGCAACGAGCGCAACCCUCGUUCUGUGUUGCCAGCAUUUAGUUGGGGACUCACAGGAGACUGCCGGGGUUAACUCGGAGGAAGGUGGGGAUGACGUCAAAUCAUCAUGCCCCUUAUGUCUUGGGCUGCACGCAUGCUACAAUGGCUGGUACAAACGGCUGCAAUACCGCAAGGUGGAGCGAAUCCGAGAAAGCCAGUCUCAGUUCGGAUUGGGGUCUGCAACUCGACCCCAUGAAGUCGGAGUUGCUAGUAAUCGUAGAUCAGCAACGCUACGGUGAUACGUUCCCGGGGCUUGUACACACCGCCCGUCACGUCACGAAAGUCGGUAACACCCGAAGUCAGUGGCCCAACCGCAAGGAGGGAGCUG
rnacentral:rRNA from 1 species